AUUGAACGCUAGCGGGAUGCCUUACACAUGCAAGUCGAACGGAGUGGCGAACGGGUGAGUAAUGUAUCGGAACGUGCCCAGUAGCGGGGGAUAACUACGCGAAAGCGUAGCUAAUACCGCAUACUAUUAGAGCGGCCGAGUUCGGAUUAGCUAGUGGGGGGGGUAACGGCUCACCACGGCGACGAUCCGUAGCUGGUUUGAGAGGACGAUCAGCCAAACUGGAACUGAGACACGGCCCAGACUCCUACGGUAGGCAGCAGUGGGGAAUUUUGGACAAUGGGGGAAACCCUGAUCCAGCCAUCCCGCGUGUGCGAUGAAGGCCUUCGGAUUGUAAAGCACUUUGGGCUGGGAAGCGGUACCUGCAGAAUAAGCACCGGCUAACUACGUGCCAGCCGCCGCGGUAAUUC
rnacentral:rRNA from 1 species